UGGGGAAUUUUGGACAAUGGGCGAAAGCCUGAUCCAGCAAUGCCGCGUGUGUGAAGAAGGCCUUCGGGUUGUAAAGCACUUUUGUCCGGAAAGAAAUCCUUGGCUCUAAUACAGUCGGGGGAUGACGGUACCGGAAGAAUAAGCACCGGCUAACUACGUGCCAGCAGCCGCGGUAAUACGUAGGGUGCAAGCGUUAAUCGGAAUUACUGGGCGUAAAGCGUGCGCAGGCGGUUUGCUAAGACCGAUGUGAAAUCCCCGGGCUCAACCUGGGAACUGCAUUGGUGACUGGCAGGCUAGAGUAUGGCAGAGGGGGGUAGAAUUCCACGUGUAGCAGUGAAAUGCGUAGAGAUGUGGAGGAAUACCGAUGGCGAAGGCAGCCCCCCUGGGCCAAUACUGACGCUCAUGCACGAAAGCGUGGGGAGCAAAACAGGAUUAGAUACCCUGGUAGUCCACGCCCUAAAACGAUGUCAACUAGUUGUUGGGGAUUCAUUUCCUUAGUAACGUAGCUAACGCGUGAAGUUGACCGCCUGGGGAGUACGGUCGCAAGAUUAAAACUUAAAUGAAUUGACGGGGUCAUAGCUG
rnacentral:rRNA from 1 species